CCUACGGGAGGCAGCAGUGAGGAAUAUUGGUCAAUGGCCGGAAGGCUGAACCAGCCAAGUCGCGUGAGGGACGACUGCUCUAUGGGUUGUAAACCUCUUUUAUAAGGGAAGAAUAAAUGCUAAGUGUAGCAUGAUGCCUGUACCUUAUGAAUAAGCAUCGGCAAACUCCGUGCCAGCAGCCGCGGUAAUACGGAGGAUGCGAGCGUUAUCCGGAUUUUUUGGGGUUAAAGGGUGCGUAGGGGGGUUGUAAAGGUAGUGGUUAAACGUCGGGGCUGAACCUUGAUUUGCACUUAAUACUGUAAGACUAGAGUUCAGGAGAGGUAGGCGGAAUAAGUGGGGUAGCGGUGAAAUGCUUAGAUAUAACGGAGAACACCGAUAGCGAAGGCAGCUUACCAGAC
rnacentral:rRNA from 1 species